AACGAACGCUGGCGGCAGGCUUAACACAUGCAAGUCGAGCGCCCCGCAAGGGGAGCGGCAGACGGGUGAGUAACGCGUGGGAAUCUACCCAUCUCUGCGGAACAACUCCGGGAAACUGGAGCUAAUACCGCAUACGCCCUUCGGGGGAAAGAUUUAUCGGGGAUGGAUGAGCCCGCGUUGGAUUAGCUAGUUGGUGGGGUAAAGGCCUACCAAGGCGACGAUCCAUAGCUGGUCUGAGAGGAUGAUCAGCAACAUUGGGACUGAGACACGGCCCAAGCUCCUACGGGAGGCAGCAGUGGGGAAUAUUGGACAAUGGGCGCAAGCCUGAUCCAGCCAUGCCGCGUGAGUGAUGAAGGCCUUAGGGUUGUAAAGCUCUUUCACCGAUGAAGAUAAUGACGGUAGUCGGAGAAGAAGCCCCGGCUAACUUCGUGCCAGCCGCCGCGGUAA
rnacentral:rRNA from 1 species